rnacentral:lncRNA from 1 species
GCAGGCCCCCCUGCAGCCCUAGACUUCUCCGUUCCCUCCUCGCGCCGCCAACCCUUUCCCCUCCCCUCUGUUUCCUCUUCUUCCUCAAGGAACAGAGAAAGAGAAAACACCACCGAGAGCCUCGCCGUUGCUUGCGUGGUUGGAGGUCACCACGGUCAUCUCCGGUAUGUGCAUCUUCUUCCUCGACGUCGUUUAUGUCCGUUCAGACGCCUUCCCCGCACUAGGUCGCCUCCAUUAUGUCGGCGUCUUCUUCCUCUGCUCGACUUCUUCAGGGAACGCGAACACCUCCACGAUCAGCGCUUCUUCCUGUACGCCUCUGUCGUCGCGUACCCGGCCUCCAUGUCGUAUCCUUCGAACCCAUGGCGAGCAGUCGCUCCUCCCUGGUCCUUCCUCGGCGUGCUUUUCAUCCUGUAACCGUCGUUUUGAUCUUGACCGAGGCCCGUCCGCCAUGGCCGUUUCUGAAGCAAGCCGAGGCUCUGUUUCCGCGCACAUGCACACCUUGCUGCCGCCCCUUGCUGCACUUGUGCACCUUGCCAGAUGCUGCUCCCGCCCGCACACCACGCGGUCGCCACACCUCGCCGCACACCCUCACACGGCGCCAUCCGUCGAGCCGGCCGCCAUGGAUGGGCUGAGCCCAGCCUCGUCGGCCGCCUCCUCAUCACACGCCCAGCACCCGCUGCUCGCUCCCACCAUCUCCCGCAGCUGCUCUGCGUGCACGCGCGCACCCACACCACAAUCCCGCACGCCCGCCGUUGUCUUCAAACCGCUAGCGCCGCCGCGUUCGCUCGCCGUCGUCGUUGGUUAUCCAUGCGCAGCCAUUAUUCCAAGCUCGAGCCUUUCAGUAGCCGUAUAAGUAGAGCCGGCUUCCCAUCUGUUAGACAAAGAUAGCAGCAGCGCAGUGGUUAGCGCGCCCCGGGCAUGUCCAAGCGGUCUGGGGUUCAAACCCCGGGUGGUACCCUUUUUCCUUGUUUUGUGUUUGAACUGCUGUUCUUUUCCCAACCACACAAGAGCAGUCGAUCCCUCUCUGUAACGCAAACACCAGACUAGCGCAUUGGCUAACACCUUGGUUUCCAACUAGGAGGUCUUGAGAUUGAAUCCCAUUUAGCCCUCAAUUCUUUUCCUCUGUUUUCUUUUUUUUAGUCGCGCAAACACCCACUUAGGCCUCACAAGAGCAGUCCAUCCCCCUCUGUAACGCAAACACCAGACUAGUGCAUCGGCUAACACCCUGGUUUCCAACUACGAGGUCUUGAGAUCGAAUCCCAUUUAGCCCUCAAUUCUUUUCCUCUGUGUUAACCAUGCAUCGGGAUUAAUUAAACUUUAUAUUUAAUAUGCUUAGAAUUUUGUCUAGUUUCAUAAUAUGUUUUCAUCUAUGUUUAAAAUGUUUGAACUGCUGUUCUUUUCCCAACCACACAAGAGCAGUUGAUCCCCCUCUAUAACGCAAACACCAGACUAGCGCAGUGGCUAACACCCUGGUUUCCAACUAGGAGGUCUUGAGAUCGAAUCCCAUUUAGCCCUCAAUUCUUUUCCUCUGUGUUAACCAUGCAUCGGAAUUAAUUAAACUUUGUGCUUAGAAUUUUGUCUAGUUUCAUAAUAUGUUUUCAUCUAUGUUUAAAAUGUUUGAACUGCUGUUCUUUUCCCAACCACACAAGAGCAGUUGAUCCCCCUCUGUAACGCAAACACCAGACUAGCGCAGUGGCUAACACCCUGGUUUCCAACUAGGAGGUCUUGAGAUUGAAUCCCAUUUAGCCCUCAAUUCUUUUCCUCUGUGUUCUUUUUUUUAGUCGCGCAAACACCCACUUAGGCCUCAUUCGCUGCUGAGCCGCUGCACCAUGAUGCUUCAGGCCCGUGCAUGUUUUUUUCUGCCUGUGCAUUUAGUUAUCCUAUAUACUUAAGAAGUUCAUCCCCACUAAGUGAUUUAUCUUGACAUGCAGCAUGUACACAUCAGCAAAGUAGCCACGUCACAACCAUGCAUUCCCACCGCAAGGCGCAAGCACACCUCCUCGGGUGUGAACUGACCUUUUCUUUCCCCCUAAAUUCAAGCCAUGCAUUAGCUAUCGGAUUCAAUGAGCCAAGAACCGAGGAGGUUUGCCUUCUCCACUUCUCCUCCCUGGCCGCUUCUCCUCCCCUCCACUUUCCUCACUCUUGCGCUUCCAUCCUCACCGGGGCUACAAAUACGUUCCCCUUGCGGGUGUGGCGACUGCGUAGUCAAGACGGCGUCCGCAGAACCCUAAACAAUCUUUUCCAAUCUUUUCCACCUGCUCUGGGUCCUCCUUCUACUGCCGGCCUCCCCACGUCGGUGUUCAGACCCGUCCCUUCUGUCGUUCCUCCGCUCCGGGUCCUCCUCGAGGCGGCAUCAUCGGACGCAACAGACGCGGCGGACGCGACUCGCAGCCCCGGUUUGUGCGGGAUCCAUCAAGGUGGCCUCGGGAAGGAGCAGGUCGCCGGUAUCGCCACGCCUCCUCGCGGCCGCCAUGGCAGGCAAGCCAUCACCUCGCAGCCGAUUUAUUCUCUGCGCACGCCAUGCCUCCCCUGCGGUUUCUCCUCGCGCUGACGGCUUGGGACGCACGCACCGGAUGAGACCCUCCCUGCCACGGAGGAGAAGCUCGCCGGCCUCCCCCUGCCUCCUUGACGUAGAUAUCAAUGCCCGCAAGCCCAGCUUCAAGAAGACGGUUAGCAUCUCUUCCCCUUAAAGUGAUUGCCUUCAUUUGGUGUUGUCAUUUGUGAUGUCUAUGAUUUUUGGUGCUUACGAUCACUCAUAAAGAUGGGAUCCCGGAUGGUGGUGUGUUGCAUGACAGUUCUUCUCUGUUUUUCCUUAGGUGUGCCAUGUUCAGGUUCCAAAUGUUCUAAACCUCUGCAUGUUCAGGUUCGAUUCAGAAUUUGAGAAGCAGGUGCUUACGGUGUCACGCAGUACAGUGAAAAGGGCGUUCAGAUAUACUUAACAGGUUACAUAUCUUUCCCCUUCGUCUCCCUCCUACCUUGCUUGAAAACAGUUCUCCGCAACUAUUAAAACAAUCUGCUGAAACUGCUCUACAGGUCCAUCAUUUCAGCUUUCGGUUCAUUCAUCUAUCUAAACUGUGAGGAGGAGCUAUCAAGGCUAGGGAUGUGUAUACAUCACUCCUAGCCACCGGAAGAAGUGGCCAGUUUUCCCUGUACACCUAAUUGUCUACAAUUUUGAUUGAUUUAUUUAUUUUUGCAAGAAUUUGAAACUGCAGGACGCCGGAGGCAUCCAAUAGUUGUAAUUUCCUGUUUGCUUUUGUCAAAUAUCUUCAGAAUUGUAUAAGUCACUUGCCUUAUUAAUCUUUUCGUCUCCACAAAGGUUAUGUUUGUGAGCACGUUUAAUCCCAGUCUUCUAUUUAUUAGGUCGCUACCUAUUGGUC